GUGCUCGCUUCAGCAGCACAUAUACUAAAAUUGGAAUGAUACAUAGAAGAUUAGCAUGACCCCUAGGCAAAGAUGACACACAAAUCCCUGAAGUGUUCCCUAUUUUU